rnacentral:tRNA from 1 species
AGUGUAGCUCACUAGUAGAGCACAUGCUUGGCAUGCAUGAGGCCUUGGGUUCCAUCCCCAGCACU